UACGUAGGGCGCGAGCGUUGUCCGGAUUUAUUGGGCGUAAAGAGCGUGUAGGCGGCCAGGUAGGUCCGCUGUGAAAACUCGAGGCUCAACCUCGAGAUGUCGGCGGAAACCAUCUGGCUAGAGUCCGGAAGAGGAGAGUGGAAUUCCUGGUGUAGCGGUGAAAUGCGCAGAUAUCAGGAAGAACACCCGUGGCGAAGGCGGCUCUCUGGGACGGUACUGACGCUGAGACGCGAAAGCGUGGGGAGCGAACAGG
rnacentral:rRNA from 1 species